GGGAAACCUGCCCAGAAGCGGGGGAUAACACCUGGAAACAGAUGCUAAUACCGCAUAACAACUUGGACCGCAUGGUCCGAGCUUGAAAGAUGGCUUCGGCUAUCACUUUUGGAUGGUCCCGCGGCGUAUUAGCUAGAUGGUGGGGUAACGGCUCACCAUGGCAAUGAUACGUAGCCGACCUGAGAGGGUAAUCGGCCACAUUGGGACUGAGACACGGCCCAAACUCCUACGGGAGGCAGCAGUAGGGAAUCUUCCACAAUGGACGAAAGUCUGAUGGAGCAACGCCGCGUGAGUGAAGAAGGGUUUCGGCUCGUAAAACUCUGUUGUUAAAGAAGAACAUAUCUGAGAGUAACUGUUCAGGUAUUG
rnacentral:rRNA from 1 species